AGCGAACGCUGGCGGCAGGCCUAACACAUGCAAGUCGAACUAACUCUUCGGAGUUAGUGGCGGACGGGUGAGUAACACGUGGGAACGUGCCUUUAGGUUCGGAAUAACUCAGGGAAACUUGUGCUAAUACCGAAUGUGCCCUUCGGGGGAAAGAUUUAUCGCCUUUAGAGCGGCCCGCGUCUGAUUAGCUAGUUGGUGAGGUAAAGGCUCACCAAGGCGACGAUCAGUAGCUGGUCUGAGAGGAUGAUCAGCCACAUUGGGACUGAGACACGGCCCAAACUCCUACGGGAGGCAGCAGUGGGGAAUCUUGCGCAAUGGGCGAAAGCCUGACGCAGCCAUGCCGCGUGAAUGAUGAAGGUCUUAGGAUUGUAAAAUUCUUUCACCGGGGACGAUAAUGACGGUACCCGGAGAAGAAGCCCCGGCUAACUUCGUG
rnacentral:rRNA from 1 species